GAGCCACCAUCGAUAGUUUUUUUUGUCACUAUCGAUAGUAUUGAGCAUUUUUAAUAGCAACACAUCACUUGAAUUGGCGCAAAAAGCAAGUACUGGCUGCUGCAUAUUGGUGUGGGUUGGUGUUUCUGAGCAUGGAGAAAUAUUUGAAAAACCUGAAAAGAAAGGACAACGAAGAAGCAGAACAUAUCAGCUCAAAUGAGGAAAAUAAGGAAACAAAAAGGUCUAGACUUGGGAAGUCAAAAGUUUGGACUUUUUUUACAAAGUCCAAUGACGGUAAGUCGGCGAAGUGUCUUUCGUUCGAAAAAGUGUAUAAAAUCAGCGGAAAAAUCGGUCAAAUCUCUUUGAUCAUAUGAAGCGUGUGCAUCCAACAAUAAACGUUGGAGAUUUACCGGCUACAUUACCAAGGAUUGAUGCUUUUGUCCCUACAAAGUAUGAUGCGAAUUCUCGUCGAAAGGGGGAAUUAGAUACGGCUGUAAUGAAGUACAUUGCUACUGACAUGCGACCAUUUUCAGUUGUGGAAGACACUGGCUUUCGAAGUAUGCUUAAUGUAUUCGAUCCAAAAUAUAAGUUACCAUCGCGCAAGACUUUAAAAAAUAUGUGAAAAAUAAUGGCGGAACAAUAUGAAGCAAAAACCAUCAAAUUGAUGGCAAUAUUAAAAAAAAUUGAUUAUUGCGCAAUAACAACGGAUCUCUGGACGUCGUUGGCCAAUGAAGCAUACAUUACAGUAACAUGCACAUUCAUAACAAACGAGUUUAAGCUGCAAACUGCCGUA